rnacentral:rRNA from 1 species
GAUGAACGCUGACAGAAUGCUUAACACAUGCAAGUCGAUGGGGAAGUGGUGCUUGCACCAUGGCAACCAUGGCGGACGGGUGAGUAACGCGUAAGGGACUUACCUGCAGGACUGGGAUAACAGGGGGAAACUCCUGACAAGACCGGAUAAUGUCAUGGAGCUGCAUGGCUUUAUGAUGAAAGGAGACGCCUGCGGAGAGCCUUGCGUCCUAUUAGCUAGUUGGUGAGGUAAUGGCUCACCAAGGCGAAGAUAGGUAGCCGGCCUGAGAGGGUGGACGGCCACAAGGGGACUGAGAUACGGCCAUUACUCCUACGGGAGGCAGCAGUGGGGAAUAUUGGACAAUGGGGGCAACCCUGAUCCAGCAAUUCUGUGUGCACGAAGAAGGUUUUCGGAGUGUAAAGUGCUUUCAGCAGGGAAGAAGUAAGUGACGGUACCUGCAGAAGAAGCGACGGCUAAAUACGUG